rnacentral:rRNA from 1 species
UACGAAGGGGGCUAGCGUUGCUCGGAAUCACUGGGCGUAAAGGGUGCGUAGGCGGUUCUUUAAGUCCGGGGUGAAAUCCUGGAGCUCAACUCCAGAACUGCCUUUGAUACUGAAGAUCUUGAGUUCGGGAGAGGUGAGUGGAACUGCGAGUGUAGAGGUGAAAUUCGUAGAUAUUCGCAAGAACACCAGUGGCGAAGGCGGCUAACUGGCCCGAUACUGACGCUGAGGCACGAAAGCGUGGGGAGCAAACAGG